rnacentral:rRNA from 1 species
GAUGAACGCUGGCGGCGUGCCUAAUACAUGCAAGUCGAGCGAACAGACGAGGAGCUUGCUCCUCUGACGUUAGCGGCGGACGGGUGAGUAACACGUGGAUAACCUACCUAUAAGACUGGGAUAACUUCGGGAAACCGGAGCUAAUACCGGAUAAUAUAUUGAACCGCAUGGUUCAAUAGUGAAAGACGGUUUUGCUGUCACUUAUAGAUGGAUCCGCGCCGCAUUAGCUAGUUGGUAAGGUAACGGCUUACCAAGGCGACGAUGCGUAGCCGACCUGUGAGGGUGAUCGGCCACACUGGACCUGAGACACGGUCCAGACUCCUGCGGGAGGCAGCAGUAGGGAAUCUUCCGCAAUGGGCGAAAGCCUGACGGAGCAACGCCGCGUGAGUGAUGAAGGUCUUCGGAUCGUAAAACUCUGUUAUUAGGGAAGAACAAAUGUGUAAGUAACUAUGCACGUCUUGACGGUACCUAAUCAGAAAGCCACGGCUAACUACGUG